ensembl:processed_transcript
AGCUCGUAGACAGCUUAGACGGGACAACGACCAGGGACAGCGAGCAGGAGUAUCAGUCAGCUGGUUGCUGCCGCUGCUACAACCGACCCAGCCACAGCUGGAAUACCCUCAACCUGGGCAGUGACUACUGUGCUCUACACAGUCAGCGGCUGAAGGGCAGCCACGUGCCAGCCAUUGAAAAUGCUCACGGCACACAUCCCUGCUGACCUUCCCCAAGACCAUGGAGAGGCAGCUGAGUCCUUAGUUUGAGGAAGACAGGAUAACAGCCUGUUCCCGCUGCUAGAGGCCAGUGAGAUGGAGAGGCUUGCAGAGGUCACUGAUCAAUGGAUCACAGACUCUCAAGCUCAGCAGUGGUGGCCCAGGACUUUAAUUCUAGGACUCAGAAGGCAGAGGCGGGCAGAGUUCGAGGCCAACCUGGUGGUCUACAGAGCAACGGGACAGCUGGGAGUAUGCAGUGAAACCCUACCUCAAAAAGACAAACAAACAAACGAAAUAUCAUAGAUUCUCCAUCUAUGACACCGCUUGACACCAUCGGUAAGCACUGACUGAAGUCUUCUGGUCUGGAGGAUCUUUUAUCAUUUUGACAGACAGAAACUUGACUGGGAUUACAAAACCAGGUACAGAGAGCCUCAGACACUGCACACAUCGACAUGUGCUUUUUGUUCCAAGAAAUAAGAUCUUGGGUUCAAUUCCCACCCAAGACCCUGCGCCAAGCCAUACACUAAGUCCCAAGAGGUCCUGGGCCCCUUGUCUAAAGGAACCCAAGAGCAACUGGUCCUUAACACACACAGGCUGCAUGCCCCAGCCACAACUUCCCCGCAUCCACCCCACCCUGUACUUCUCCCAUUAUAGUCCUCCUCCAUGGCUCCCCACGUCCGAGCUCCCGGUUCAGGCAUCUCUCGCGCCCCACUCCUGUCUACCCAUUCUGCCGCCCGCCCGUUAUAGCCCCGUCUUUCUUCCCAAGGGGGGGUCCAUCCGCCUCCGUGCCGGGCAGCGGAACCCGAGGCACAGAGGAAUGACGCCAAGCCGGAAAGGCUGCGCGCCAGUGGUCCACCCGGAAGUGCGCCCCCCCAUCAGGUCCCCCAGAGCCCCCAGCGCCGGCCGGCCACGCACCCACCUGUCCUAGUGUGGCUGCAGCCAUGAUCCGGUGUGUGCGGCUGGUGACUGUGCCCGCCUGGGGCGCGGCCUGGUGAAAGGCAUUCGGGCCCCGCCCUGCUCACGCCCCCUCCCGCAGAUGGCUGCUGUGUCGAGCCUCACUUCUGCCAGGCCGUCCUUAGUUCUGGGACCACAGGGACCCAGGUUCUGCUGUGAAGAUCCUGCGCGGGAACAGUCCCGACCUGCCGCACUCUCUCCCUCCUCGCCUCCACCCUACCCUGCUCUACCACAGCCACAUUCAUGCCCAGCUAGGCAUUUACUUUGGCUUUUGUUUGGCAUCUGAGUACGGAACCCGUGGCCUCGUGAAUGUUUGGGAAGCGCUCUAACUCCUGGGAACAGAUCCAGACCUCUAAAUUUUGUAUAUGUCGCCGAGCAUGGUGGCACACGUCUUAAGCUUAGCGUUUGGGAGACAGGUGGAAGGAUCUCUGUGAGUCCAAAACCAUUCUGAGCCACCUAAUUAGUUCCAAGCCAGCCAGGGCUAUCUGGUAAGAUCCUGCCUUAAAACAAAAGGAGUGGCCUCCCAGCACUCGAGGCAGAGGCAGGAGGAUUUCUGAGUUCGAGGCCAGCCUGGUCUACAAAGUGAGUUCCAGGACAGCCAGGGCUAUACAGAGAAACCCUGUCUCGAAAAACAAACAAACAAAAAAAAAGAGGUUGGAAAGAGGGCGCAACAGUUAAAAGUACUGGGCUGCUCUUACAGAGGACCGGGCUUGGUUCCUAGCACCCACAUAGCUCAUAAGUGCCUGUAACUCCAGUUCCAAGGGUUUCUGUGCCCUCUUCAGAGUUCCACAGGCACCAGGCAUGCACAUGAUACACUAACAUAUGUGCAGGCAAUACACAUACACAAAAACUUUAAAACAUUUUUUCUUUCUCUUAUCUAUCUAUCAUCUAUCUAUCUAUCUAUUUAGAGACAGUGUUUCUCUGUGUAGCCCAGGUUGUCCUAGAACUAGCUCGGUAAGUAAACCAGGUUGUCCUCAAAGUUACAGAGAUCCUCCUGCCUCUGCCUCCGAAGCUGAAAUUAAAGGUGUGCCACCACUGCUUGCUAUAAAACGCUUUUCUAAAAAUAAAGCAAGAACAACAAUGCAUAUUCACAGGAACUAUCAUCAGUGGCAAAGCGGGCCAGAUGGCUUUGAUAAAAAGGAACAGCUCAGCCGGGCGGUGGUGGCGCACGCCUUUAAUCCUAGCACUUGGGAGGCAGAGGCAGGUGAAUUUUGAGUUCGAGGCCAGCUCUGGUCUACAAAGUGAGUUCCAGGCCAGCCAGGGCUAACACAGAGAAACCCUGUCUCAA